rnacentral:lncRNA from 1 species
CUUCAUUCAAAAGCACUUCGCCUUCUUGAAGCCUCGUGCUUGGGGGGCUGUGUACCGGGCCAUGAACCAGGGGGUGAUUUGUUAAGGCCCAAUACGAAAAAGCCCAAUGGGAGCAUCUAAAGGAGAAGUGUGAAAACAACCAUGAAAAACACAUGAUAAGCGUGAUCCACCAUGACUUGGAAGGGAAGGAAGAAACUUGGAGAAGAAGGAAGAAGCUUGGAGAAGAAGGAAGAAGCUUGGAGAAGAAGGAAAGUAACCGCCCACUACCCAUGAAUUCCUCUCCAAGCAAGGCGGUUAUCAAGCAACAAGAGGNNN